rnacentral:rRNA from 1 species
GUGCAGCAGGCGAGAAUUUUUCACAAUGGGGGAAACCCUGAUGGAGCGACGCCGCGUGGAGGAUGAAGGCGUUUUCGUCGUAAACUCCUGUCAUGCGAGAACAAGAAAGUGAUAGUAUCGCAAGAGGAAGAGACGGCUAACUCUGUGCCAGCAGCCGCGGUAAUACAGAGGUCUCAAGCGUUGUUCGGAUUCAUUGGGCGUAAAGGGUGCGUAGGUGGCAUGGUAAGUUGAAGGUGAAAUCACGGAGCUCAACUCCGAAACUGCCUUCAAUACUGCUGUGCUUGGGAGCUGUAGAGGAGAAUGGAAUUCACGGUGUAGCAGUGAAAUGCGUAGAUAUCGUGAGGAAGACCAGUGGCGAAGGCGAUUCUCUGGGCAGUUUCUGACACUGAGGCACGAAGGCUAGGGGAGCAAACGGGAUUAGAUACCCGUGUAGU